rnacentral:rRNA from 1 species
AGAGUUUGAUCCUGGCUCAGGACGAACGCUGGCGGCGUGCUUAACACAUGCAAGUCGAGCGGAAAGGCCCUUCGGGGUACUCGAGCGGCGAACGGGUGAGUAACACGUGAGCAACCUGCCCUAGGCUUUGGGAUAACCCCGGGAAACCGGGGCUAAUACCGAAUAUGACUUCUGGUCGCAUGACCGGUGGUGGAAAGUUUUUCGGCCUGGGAUGGGCUCGCGGCCUAUCAGCUUGUUGGUGGGGUGAUGGCCUACCAAGGCGACGACGGGUAGCCGGCCUGAGAGGGUGACCGGCCACACUGGGACUGAGAUACGGCCCAGACUCCUACGGGAGGCAGCAGUGGGGAAUAUUGCACAAUGGGCGGAAGCCUGAUGCAGCAACGCCGCGUGAGGGUUGACGGCCUUCGGGUUGUAAACCUCUUUUAGCAGGGAAGAAGCGUGAGUGACGGUACCUGCAGAAAAAGCGCCGGCUAACUACGUGCCAGCAGCCGCGGUAAUAC